rnacentral:lncRNA from 1 species
GGGUGGGGGGGGGGGGGGAGAGCAAGAAUUUCAAGCAGGCUCCAUAGCCAGCCUGGACCCUGAGAAGGUGACCCAACAAGAGUUGGACCCUUAACUGAGGGAGCUGCCCA